rnacentral:tRNA from 1 species
GUUUUAGUAGUUUAACAUAAAACCUUGGUCUUGUAAAUCAAAAUAGAGUAAUAUACUCCUAAAACU